rnacentral:rRNA from 1 species
CUAGUAACGGCGAGUGAAGCGGCAACAGCUCAAAUUUGAAAUCUGGCCCCCGGGUCCGAGUUGUAAUUUGUAGAGGAUGCUUUUGGUGCGGUACCUUCCGAGUGCCCUGGAACGGGACGCCAUAGAGGGUGAGAGCCCCGUCUGGUUGGACGCCAAUCCUUUGUAAAGCUCCUUCAACGAGUCGAGUAGUUUGGGAAUGCUGCUCUAAAUGGGAGGUAUAUGUCUUCUAAAGCUAAAUAUUGGCCAGAGACCGAUAGCGCACAAGUAGAGUGAUCGAAAGAUGAAAAGCACUUUGAAAAGAGAGUUAAAAAGUACGUGAAAUUGUUGAAAGGGAAGCGCUCAUGACCAGACUUGGGCUUGGUUGAUCAUCCAGGGUUCUCCCUGGUGCACUCUUCCGGCCCAGGCCAGCAUCAGUUCGCUGUGGGGGAUAAAGGCUUCGGGAAUGUGGCUCCCUCGGGAGUGUUAUAGCCCGUCGUGUAAUACCCUGUGGCGGACUGAGGUUCGCGCAUUCGCAAGGAU